UACGUAGGGUGCAAGCGUUAAUCGGAAUUACUGGGCGUAAAGCGUGCGCAGGCGGUUUUGUAAGUCUGUCGUGAAAGCCCCGGACUCAACCUGGGAAUUGCGAUGGAGACUGCAAGGCUUGAAUCUGGCAGAGGGGGGUAGAAUUCCACGUGUAGCAGUGAAAUGCGUAGAGAUGUGGAGGAACACCGAUGGCGAAGGCAGCCCCCUGGGUCAAGAUUGACGCUCAUGCACGAAAGCGUGGGGAGCGAACAGG
rnacentral:rRNA from 1 species